rnacentral:rRNA from 1 species
UACGAGGGGGGCAAGUGUUGUUCGGAAUCACUGGGCGUAAAGGGAGCGUAGGCGGGCUUUUAAGUUAGGUGUUUAAUCCCGGGGCCCAACCCCGGACCGGCACCUAAAACUGGGAGUCCUGAAUAGUGGAGAGGUCAGUGGAAUUGGGGGUGUAGCGGUGGAAUGCGUAGAGAUCCCCAAGAACACCAGUUGCGAAGGCGGCUGACUGGACACAUAUUGACGCUGAGGCUCGAAAGCAUGGGGAGCAAACAGG